CAAUUAUGAUAUCACAAACUCUCAAAGUCCAUUUCAGGAAGGGCUGCCUGCUUCUGGCAGAGAUGGCUGGCUUAGCCCUGUCCCCCGCACCCCUGCCCCCUAGGCCAGCACCACCUCUCCUUCCUCUUCCCCUAGGACCUGGCUGCCUCUAGCAUGUGCCUGACCCCAUAGGGCACUGCAGUUUCCAUCCAGAUGUGUCUGUCCCUGGCUCCAGUAGGUUCCCGGGCACCCUGAGGAUUUUUUUUUUUUUUUUUCAGAUAGAGUCUCGCUCUGUCACCAGACUGGAGUGCAGUGGCACAAUCUCGGCUCACCACAACCUCCGCUUCCCGGGUUUAAGUGAUUCUCCUGCUCAGCCUCCCGAGUAGCUGGGAUUACAGCCAGGCGUGGUGGCAGGUGCCUGUAGUCCCAGCUACUCAGGAGGCUGAGGCAGAAGAAUCACCUGAACCUGGGUGGUGGAAGUUGUGGUGAGCUGAGAUCGCCAUUGCACUCCAGCCUGGGCGACAGAGUGAGACUGUCUCAAAAAAAAAAAGAAAAUCAGACUAAGCCGGGCACGGUGGCACAUGCCUGUAAUCCCAGCAUUUUGAGAGACCGAGGCAGGAGGAUUGCUUGAGCUUAGAAGUUCAAGACCAGCUUGGGCAAUGUAAUGCCC
rnacentral:lncRNA from 1 species